CUCCAAAGUGCCCGCCACUGGACGCCAUCUUGCCCGGAAGUAGGAUAGAUCAAGGCGUGCCAGGAUUGGCUGGAGAAUCGACAGCAUCGGUCAUCAUUUCCUGAGAGCAGGGACUGAAGAGACGUGGUGCCGCCCCCUGGCAGCCCCGCAGAGAGGAUUCUUUGUCUCCUGCAGCAUCUGGGCUGAGGUACAUCUUGUGAUUCAAGAGCCAAGGGAGCACAUCAAAGAAAGCCUGUUUUGGGACAAGAAUUAGACCAAGAAAUAACAGUGCAUCUCCAAUUAAUAGAGUGGCCAGAAUGUGGUGCUGACAAUCCAUUGUGACAAACCUCAGAUGAAAAUUUUGAAUUUGUGAAUGGCUUUUAGCAGAAAUGAGGCAGAGGAUAGUCUAUGUCGCUGGAGUAGUUUCAUGUCAUACGGAAGAAUGCUGCAGACGCCUGUGCACUUUGCUCCUGAUGAUCCAGGAGUGCAGUCCUCUGUACAGGCAAAUGAUGCUGCAAUGAAUACUUCUCUGGUUCACUGAUCACUCUGCAUGAACCAGUGAAACACAAACAUUUAAACCUGGCUAAAAAGGUACUGCCUGUCCCUCUCCUGUAGGUGUGUUUGCUUACACUGCUAUCUCAAGGAUUGUAGUGAGAAUGAAAUGCCAUCAUGUGUAGAGUACUUAGCUAGAGGCCUGGCAUAUGCUACUCAAGUAGUUGUUACUGUUAUAAUGAUCUUUUACUAGCACUGCCCAAGCUCUUCCCUGUGUGAGAUUGAGAUAUGUGACUUUGUGCUCCCCAUGAUUGUCAUUUUGACAAGGAAGGUCUUGAUAUAUAUUACUUUCUGCCACUGAAUGUCAAGUCCACUGACAUAAGAAAAUAAAUUUUAAAAGAAACCUUUCA
rnacentral:lncRNA from 1 species